rnacentral:rRNA from 1 species
UUUUUUAUGGAGAGUUUGAUCCUGGCUCAGGACGAACGCUGGCGGCGUGCCUAACACAUGCAAGUCGAACGGAGUUAUU